CAGUGGAAGUGUUGUUUGACAUGUGUCUGAAAUAAAUACAACAUUGCACACCAUAUUUUAUAGGGGACUUUUACGCAAUAUGACCAGAUGUUUAAUUUAAGCUGUAAACCUCUCACUUUCUUUAAAUAAGUCUGUCAGUAAAACUAGAGCGAAAAAAAUCCUGUGCCUUUAAAGAUCAUUAAGGCAAUAUAGCUUGUUCUCCACACAAAUAUUUUCAGAGGGAAGGUUAACUUAUGUUUCCUUUUAUUUUAUUUAUUGAGGACAUAAUAUGGACUGUUUAGCUUGACAUUUACACAUCAGUCCAUUAGCUUACACCAUUUGAGGUGAGUCAUGCUCUGUCACGAGAUCUAGUGAUGAUGUUAAAUACAGAUGGAGGUUUCAGGUUUGUAAAUUACAUCGUUGCUUUGUUACGCUCUAGUCAUAAAGUGGAACAUUUCUUUCAAGGUUUACCACACUACCACACUCCAUCCCACCAAAAUUAAACACAUUUAGUCAGAUUGUUUUCUCCAAAUGCUUAAUGCUGAUCUAUAACUCAUGGAGUUGUCACUGACCAUGUUACCUGACCAGUAAAAGGAUUUACCAAACUGAGUUUACUGGUCAGGUGAUGUGGCCAGGAAAAGGUUUUACCAAACUGAGUUUACUGGUCAGGUGAUGUGGUCAGGAAAAGGUUUUACCAAACUGAGUUUACUGGUCAGGUGAUGUGGUCAGGGAAAGGUUUUACCAAACUGAGUUUACUGGUCAGGUGAUGUGGUCAGGGAAAGGUUUUACCAAACUGAGUUUACUGGUCAGGUGAUGUGGUCAGGGAAAGGUUUUACCAAACUGAGUUUACUGGUCAGGUGAUGUGGUCAGGGAAAGGUUUUACCAAACUGAGUUUACUGGUCAGGUGAUGUGGUCAGGAAAAGAUUUUACCAAACUGAGUUUACUGGUCAGGUGAUGUGGUCAGGAAAAGGGUUUUACCAGGCUGAGUUUCCUGGUCAGGUGAUGUGGUCAGGAAAAGGGUUUUACCAGGCUGAGUUUACUGGUCAGGUGAUGUGGUCAGGAAAAGGUUUUACCAAACUGAGUUUACUGGUCAGGUGAUGUGGUCAGGAAAAGGUUUUACCAAACUGAGUUUACUGGUCAGGUGAUGUGGUCAGGAAAAGGUUUUACCAAACUGAGUUUACUGGUCAGGUGAUGUGGUCAGGAAAAGGGUUUUACCAGGCUGAGUUUCCUGGUCAGGUGAUGUGGUAAGGAAAAGGGUUUACCAGGCUGAAUUUACUGCCUACUAGGCACAGAUGUCAAUUCAAUGUCUAUUCCACGUUGGUUCAACUUAAUUUCAUUGAAAUCACGUGGAAACAGUGUUGAUUCAACCAAUGGGUGGGUGGUCAGGUGACUUGGUAAAGAAAAAUGGUUUACCAGACUGAGUUUACUGGUGAGGUGAUCUGGUUAACAAGACUGGGUUUCCUGGUCAGGUGAUGUGGUCAGGAAAAACUCAUGGCCUUACUUAUGGGCAAUAGCAGUAGGACAUUAAAUGUUGCCAUGAUUCAUGACAUCCUCCAUUCAUGAUUCACAGGAAGGGACAAGUUAAUGAUCUGGGGCUUGUGGAGAGUUGAGUCUCUCUAUCGUGUUGAUUUGAGGGUGCUAAUGUUGAGGUGGAGGCCUACUCUGUUGAGCAGUGGUCUGAUAUGGCUCUUCAUUGGCGGUGUCUUCCCAUCCUCCCCCGUGUUGUGUGCGUCAAGCCCAUGGGACAGUAACAAGGUCCAUAUGUAGCCUCUUCCUCCGGCCUCCCCCCCAAACCUGAGGGGGGUAGUGUUAACAGGAUGACAGCCUAUUGAUUUACUCACAGAAAGAGAAGGGGGAAUGAAAGAGUGAGAGUGAGAGAGAGAGAGAGAGAGAGAGAGAAAGAAAGAAAGAAAGAAAGAAAGAAAGAAAGAAAGAAAGAAAGAAAGAAAGAAAGAAAGAAAGAAAGAAAGAAAGAAAGAAAGAAAGAAAGAAAGAAAGAAAGAAAGAAAGAAAGAAAGAAAGAGUAAUAGCUCAAAUAAUUUGAAGUAGAAUCCCCAAAACAUACGGUCAAGAAUCAAGACUAGUUUCUGGGUUGGAAGGUGCCUGUAACUACCACCAGAAACUACUAGAUGUGUGUUUAAUGUGACUUAAACUGCUAGUAAUUUUAGCUUGCUUAUUUUUUUAUGACUAUGUUUUUAUGACUGACACUUUUUAUGACUAACAUUUUCUUACCAGAAGCAUUUGAAGAAGUCAUCCUUUUCA
rnacentral:lncRNA from 1 species